CUAGCCCAGAUAGGAACGGCAUCCUUUUUAUGAUUUGGAGAAUCAUAAAAAGAUAGAGUGGAUAGCUGGAAAAAG
rnacentral:sRNA from 1 species